rnacentral:tRNA from 1 species
AAGGAUAUAACUCAGCGGUAGAGUGUCACCUUGACAUAGUGGAAGUCAUGAGUUCAAGCCUGUUAUCCCUA